UGGGUUAGUUUUUGUCCAACCUCCACUCAUCGAGGACUAAGCUAAAGCUAGAGCAUCUUUAGAUCAUUGGCUUUUAGGGAUGUCCUUUUAGAGAUCCUCUGUUAUGACUAGGGUUUUCAUGAGAGAUCGAUCUUAGCCAACCUCAGUCGAUUUCUUCUUUAGUCACUUUUAUAAAGGACCUAUAUAUAUAGGGACCAAGGAAAACAACAAGUUAUUGAUC
rnacentral:lncRNA from 1 species